rnacentral:lncRNA from 1 species
UGAGGGCAACAUGCUAUAGAGAUGGUGGAGAUAUUUUAGUGGUCUCAGAGUUGGAAACACUGGAAUUGAUUGAGAUAGUGUGAUCUACGAUUUUGUCUACAUCUGAUGGUGUGUGUUCUCUAGCUACCAGAGGAGCAAAUUGUACCGCUUGUAAUGUGGAUAUUUAGCCCAUUUUCUAAUAGACUGGGAAAAAACAUCUGGACAUGGUUUAAGGAUAUGGUUUUACAAUACAGGCUGCAUUAUGCUGAUAUUCUAGAAGUUAUUAACAUGUUUUGCUUGAUUUAGAAAAAUGAACAUCUAAAGAGAAGCAGCACAGGCUCCAUUUACUGAAAUUCUGUGGCCCCACUUAGUCUCAACUCAGAAGUGUAGGCAGCCUUCUUACUCCUUUUGGUGCCAAGUGUUAAAAAAAAAAAUGUCUUGCAUUUGGUUAUCUUACAAAGGAAAGGCGGGGGUAAGGUGGCCUUGGCGACCUGUUACCUGCUGCUUUUCAUUCUGGGGACUUAAGUGAGCAACAGCAGAGCUGUCUGUAUAUGGUAAUUCUAUUAUAUUAAAAUAUGUGUCAAUAUUGCCAAAAAAAUGUGCUAAAAACCAGUUUAUGUGGAGCACUCAGAAGGCCUUCCUGGAAAGAUUUUCACUUACCACUUAUGUUAAGAGUUCAAAGUAUUUUAAAUAAUCUCUCUUGUGCAUGUCCAGCCUUUUUACUGUUGCAGAGCUUUUAUAACUGUUGUGACUCCUGGGUGCUUGGCCCUUCCUUUUACUAGUACUCCAGACUCCUCACCCCACUUCCAACAACAGACACAUGGCAGGGUUUACUCCCACACGCGUGUAGGCACAUUUGCAUCGUGGUGUCACAAACUCCCAAGAUCAACAAGCAGGACACCAGGGCUGAGAUCUCUAAUUUUUUAAACUAGUUGCAUGGCUUGGACAAAUUUCCAUCUCUUUAAGGAGGUAUCCUAUUUGUGCAAUGACACAGAGCUUAGCAACUGUUUUAUUCUAUAUAUAACGUGACUAAAUCAAAUUCACUUUAUUUUAGUACUUGGGUCAGAGGUCAACAGAAAAUUUAGAGUAGAAUUUUUUCAAACUUUACCAGUACAUCUGAGCCCUGGGUGGUUCUGAGGAAACAAAAUAGACAAGGAUAAGAACUGUUAGUAUUAAGAUGUAGAUUUGCAAAAAAAAAAAAGCAACAGGUAUUUGAAAGCAAAUUUCCACUGUUUCAUCUAGAUCUGAUUCUUGGUCAUCAGGACUAUUUCAGCCCCUGUCUAGAGUCAGGGUAGUUCUGUGGUGAAUCAGCACUCCUUUCCUGAAGGGAGCAUGUGCCUAUUAGCUCAUCUCAGUGAAUUCUGUUAUGAUGUCUGGCUUGAUAAAAAUCUGUGUGCAGUAAAAAUCAGUAAAAAGCCCAUCCCAUCUGCUUUGUUCUUAUAAAGUUCCACCAAAAGAAAUCUGUAUAAUGGAGGACUUUGUAUGUACUGGUUCACUGUGCCAGUUCACUUCAUAAAUUGUUUCUUUAAAGAUAUGAUUUUCUUGUUAUAGUUCUAUGCACUUAUUAUCUGAGUAACUGUUUAAAUAUACUUAAAUGUUUUCC